AUUGAACGCUGGCGGCAUGCUUUACACAUGCAAGUCGAACGGUAACAGGCCGCAAGGUGCUGACGAGUGGCGAACGGGUGAGUAAUGCAUCGGAACGUGCCCAGUCGUGGGGGAUAACGCAGCGAAAGCUGUGCUAAUACCGCAUACGAUCUAUGGAUGAAAGCGGGGGACCGUAAGGCCUCGCGCGAUUGGAGCGGCCGAUGUCAGAUUAGGUAGUUGGGGGGGUAAAGGCUCACCAAGCCAACGAUCUGUAGCUGGUCUGAGAGGACGACCAGCCACACUGGGACUGAGAAACGGCCCAGACUCCUACGGGAGGCAGCAGUGGGGAAUGUUGGACCAUGGGCGCAAGCCUGAUCCAGCAAUGCCGCGUGCAGGAAGAAGGCCUUCGGGUUGUAAACUGCUUUUGUACGGAACGAAAAGGUCUGGGUUAAUACCCUGGGCUGAUGACGGUACCGUAAGAAUAAGCACCGGCUAACUACGUGCCAGCAGCCGCCGUAAGAC
rnacentral:rRNA from 1 species